AGACACACGUUUUACAAGGUUGUUUACGCGGCAACAAGAACCCGGAAGCAGGAAACAGGCGCCAUCUUAGGGGAGCGGCUAAGGCAGCUCCCAACAAUCUCAGGCUGUAGCCCAUGAGUUUGGCUGGGCAUCUGCUUUAAUUAAGUUCAUGUUUUCAGGGAGAUGGCAAAUGUGUGGGGAAGGGAACGUUCAGCCCAUUUAUGAACUUCUAGUCCAGUAAAAUAACAAGGGGAUGGGGCAGAGAGGAGCUGACUUCAAGAGAAAUGACAACAAAAAUGGACUUUCUCAGAAACCCCAGGGUCAGCUGGAGUUUUGCUGAAUUCUGCAGAGAACAGCUUGACCCUUAAUUAACGAGCACAUGCACAUCUUCA
rnacentral:lncRNA from 1 species